UAUCGAAACCCGGUUUUUAUUUAAUAUUUAAUAUAAUAAGCCGUCAGGAUUGCCGUUGAGCCACUGGGUGGCUCCACGUUUGUGGCAGUUGAUGUUUUACAGACUUUGAUAAAGAUUCCGUGAAACUGUAAAUACAAAAAUUAUUCCGUUUUUGUAGUUUCUGUUACUGUAAGUACAAAUCUGGCAACAUUUCUUAUUGUAAAGAUGGUUAAGAAGUUAAAUUUGAGGUGGAUAACUAAUUCUUUCUUGGUAGUACUGGUACUAUGAGUAUGACAGAUAAGUCAGCAGAACAAACACACACAGGUAUUGUGAUGCCACCAAACAUUUAUCACUUUUGAGAAUGGGAAUGAUAUGUAACAAGCUUUUCCAAUGCAAAAUAUUCAUACACUCAGAUCAAAAGGUGUGAUUACAUUGGGAUUUAGAAUUUCUAAGAUGGGGAUAUUCAUUGAAUUUAAUGGCAUUAGAAGACAACUGAUCAUGGAUCAACUUGGGGACCCAGGACCUUCCCAAAAAAAGGUGUGUAACAAGUCAAACUUCAACCAUGGUAAGCAAAUUAAGGCAUCUUAUAACAGGUGAGAAUUUACAAACACAAAAGUUAAUGAUAAAAAACAUCUUUGUGCCCCAGGCAACAGUAUGCAACAUAGUAAAAAAAGAUAUACAUUUGGGAAAAGUGACACAAGCUGCUUCAACAACAUACCCAUUUAACUGUCACAUCCUCGAGCAUCUAGAAAAGGAAACAGGUAUUCAUACUAUUCCAUAUUAAGGCAUACUUGGCAAGUUGCCAGAUGCAAUGCCUAUGGAUUUCUGUGCAAAUAAACUGUUGAAAAGGAUGCUGGAAAAGCAUUAUCCUC